UACGUAGGCAGCGAGCGUUGUUCGGAGUUACUGGGCGUAAAGCGUGCGUAGGCGGUGUCUUAAGUUUGUUGUGAAAUCUCCCGGCUUAACCGGGAGGGUGCGGCGAAUACUGAGAUGCUGGAGUGCGGGAGAGGUAAGCGGAAUUCCUGGUGUAGCGGUGAAAUGCGUAGAUAUCAGGAGGAACACCUGCGGUGUAGACGGCUUACUGGACCGUAACUGACGCUGAGACGCGAAAGCGUGGGGAGCAAACAGG
rnacentral:rRNA from 1 species